CAGCCCUUGACAUGUCCAGGACCGGUCGCAGAGAUGUGACCUUCUCUUCGGAGCCUGAAACACAGGUGCUGCAUGGCUGUCGUCAGCUCGUGUCGUGAGAUGUUGGGUUAAGUCCCGCAACGAGCGCAACCCCCGUCCUUAGUUGCUACCAUUUAGUUGAGCACUCUAAGGAGACUGCCGGUGAUAAGCCGCGAGGAAGGUGGGGAUGACGUCAAGUCCUCAUGGCCCUUACGGGCUGGGCUACACACGUGCUACAAUGGCGGUGACAAUGGGAUGCUAAGGGGCGACCCUUCGCAAAUCUCAAAAAGCCGUCUCAGUUCGGAUUGGGCUCUGCAACUCGAGCCCAUGAAGUUGGAAUCGCUAGUAAUCGUGGAUCAGCACGCCACGGUGAAUA
rnacentral:rRNA from 1 species